GACGAACGCUGGCGGCGUGCCUAACACAUGCAAGUCGAGCGGGAACCUCAGGAGGGGUAACCCUUCUGAGGGGAGAGCGGCGAACGGGUGAGUAACACGUGGGCAACCUGCCCCGGACACCGGGAUAACCCAGGGAAACCUGAGCUAAUACCGGAUACUCCGGCGCGAUCGCAUGGUCGUGCCGGGAAAGCUCCGACGGUCCGGGAUGGGCCCGCGGCCUAUCAGCUUGUUGGUGGGGUAACGGCCCACCAAGGCGACGACGGGUAGCUGGUCUGAGAGGACGGCCAGCCACACUGGGACUGAGACACGGCCCAGACUCCUACGGGAGGCAGCAGUGGGGGAUCUUGCGCUAAUGCGCGAAAGCGUGACGCAGCGACGCCGCGUGGGGAUGAAGGCCUUCGGUUGUAA
rnacentral:rRNA from 1 species